UACGUAGGGGGGCAAGCGUUUGUCCGGAUUCAUUGGGCGUAAAGAGCGUGUAGGCGGCCAGGUAGGUCGGUUGUGAAAACUGGAGGCUCAACCUUCAGAGGUCGACCGAAACCAUCUGGCUAGAGUCCGGGAGAGGAGAGUGGAAUUCCUGGUGUAGCGGUGAAAUGCGCAGAUAUCAGGAAGAACACCCGUGGCGAAAGCGGCUCUCUGGAACGGUACUGACGCUGAGACGCGAAAGCGUGGGGAGCGAACAGG
rnacentral:rRNA from 1 species